GACGAACGCUGGCGGCGUGCUUAACACAUGCAAGUCGAACGGGUCUGCCCUGUUUUUUGCGGGGUGGGUCAGUGGCGAACGGGUGAGUAACACGUGAGUAACCUGCCCCUCACUUCUGGAUAACCGCUUGAAAGGGUGGCUAAUACGGGGUGUUCUGGCUGUGCCGCAUGGUGUGGCUGGGAAAGAUUCACUUUUGUGGUGUUUUGGUGGGGGAUGGGCUCGCGGCCUAUCAGCUUGUUGGUGGGGUGAUGGCCUGCCAAGGCUAUGACGGGUAGCCGGCCGGAGAGGGUGGGCGGUCACACUGGGGCGGAGAUACGGCCCAGACUCCGGCGGGAGGCAGCAGUGGGGGGUAUUGCACAAUGGGCGGAAGGCUGAUGCAGCGACGUCGCGUGAGGGAUGGAGGCCUUCGGGUUGUGAACCUCUUUCGCCGGUGAAGAAGGUCCUGCUCUUUGUGGUGGGGUUGACGGUAGCCGGGUUAUGAAGCGCCGGCUAACUACGUG
rnacentral:rRNA from 1 species